UACAGAGGGGGCGAGCGUUGUUCGGAAUUACUGGGCGUAAAGGGCGUGUAGGCGGGACGGUAAGUCGGGCGUGAAAUCCCUAGGCUCAACCUAGGAACUGCACUCGAAACUACCAUUCUUGAGUGUCGGAGAGGAAAGCGGAAUUCCUGGUGUAGAGGUGAAAUUCGUAGAUAUCAGGAGGAACACCAGUGGCGAAGGCGGUCUGCUGGGCCAUUUCUGACGCUGAGGAGCGAAAGCUAGGGGAGCGAACGGG
rnacentral:rRNA from 1 species